rnacentral:lncRNA from 1 species
AGGAAUCGUCGUGUAGCGGCGACCGGGCGGCGCAACUGUGGCUGAAGGGACGGAAAAAACGGGCGACAUCAGGCUCUGGGGCCGGGAUCUGGUGGCGUGAUGAUGGGUGCGGGAGGCGAGGCUCUGCAGAAAGGGGUGCAGAGGGCUUCCGCUGCCAUUGGGGAAAAGGGGGCGCGGGAACCCACUCUGUUGCUUGCCAGGGACAAAACUGAGCGGCAGCGUCGGAGAAGACGAG